rnacentral:rRNA from 1 species
GACGAACGCUGGCGGCGUGCUUAACACAUGCAAGUCGAACGGAAAGGCCCUGCUUGCAGGGUACUCGAGUGGCGAACGGGUGAGUAACACGUGGGUGAUCUGCCCUGCACUUCGGGAUAAGCCUGGGAAACUGGGUCUAAUACCGGCUAGGAGCCAUUUUUAGUGUGAUGGUUGGAAAGUUUUUUCGGUUUUGGAUGAGCUCGCGGCCUAUCAGCUUGUUGGGGGGGUAAUGGCCUACCAAGGCGGCGACGGGUAGCCGGCCUGAGAGGGUGGACGGCCACAUUGGGACUGAGAGACGGCCCAGACUCCUACGGGAGGCAGCAGUGGGGAAGAUUGCACAAUGGGCGCAAGCCUGAUGCAGCGACGCCGCGUGGGGGAUGACGGCCUUCGGGUUGUAAACUCCUUUCGCUAGGGACGAAGCUUUUUGUGACGGUACCUAGAUAAGAAGCACCGGCUAACUACGUG